UGGCAACGUGCCUGAGUGGUUAAAGGGUAUGACUAGAAAUCAUAUGGGUUCGCCCUCACAGGUUCGAAUCCUGUCGUUGUCGG
rnacentral:tRNA from 1 species